UGGGGAAUAUUGCACAAUGGGGGAAACCCUGAUGCAGCAACGCCGCGUGAAGGAAGACGGUUUUCGGAUUGUAAACUUCUUUUCUUAGUGAAGAAGAUGUGACGGUAGCUAAGGAAUAAGCAUCGGCUAACUACGUGCCAGCAGCCGCGGUAAUACGUAGGAUGCGAGCGUUAUCCGGAAUUACUGGGUGUAAAGGGAGCGCAGGCGGGACUGCAAGUUGGAUGUGAAAUACCGCAGCUUAACUGCGGAGCUGCAUCCAAAACUGUAGUUCUUGAGUGGAGUAGAGGCAAGCGGAAUUCCGAGUGUAGCGGUGAAAUGCGUAGAUAUUCGGAGGAACACCAGUGGCGAAGGCGGCUUGCUGGGCUCUAACUGACGCUGAGGCUCGAAAGUGUGGGGAGCAAACA
rnacentral:rRNA from 1 species